CUACGGGAUGCUGCAGUGGGGAAUAUUGCACAAUGGGGGGAACCCUGAUGCAGCAACGCCGCGUGGAGGAUGACGCAUUUCGGUGUGUAAACUCCUUUUAUAUGUCAAGAAAAUGACGGUAGCAUAUGAAUAAGCACCGGCUAACUCCGUGCCAGCAGCCGCGGUGAAUACGGAGGGUGCGAGCGUUACUCGGAAUCACUGGGCGUAAAGGACGCGUAGGCGGGUUGGAAAGUCAGGUGUGAAAUCCUACAGCUUAACUGUAGAACUGCACUUGAAACUUCUAAUCUAGAGUAUGGGAGGGGGAGAUGGAGUUAGUGGUGUAGGGGUAAAAUCCGUAGAUAUCACUAGGAAUACCUAAAGCGAAGGCGAUCUCCUGGAACAUUACUGACGCUAAGGCGUGAAAGCGUGGGGAGCAAACAGGAUUAGAUACCCCAGUAGUC
rnacentral:rRNA from 1 species